GACGAACGCUGGCGGCGUGCUUAACACAUGCAAGUCGAACGGUAAGGCCCUUCGGGGUACACGAGUGGCGAACGGGUGAGUAACACGUGGGUGAUCUGCCCUGCACUUCGGGAUAAGCCUGGGAAACUGGGUCUAAUACCGGAUAGGACCACUGCCUGCAUGGGUGGUGGUGGAAAGCUUUUGCGGUGUGGGAUGGGCCCGCGGCCUAUCAGCUAGUUGGUGAGGUAACGGCUCACCAAGGCGACGACGGGUAGCCGGCCUGAGAGGGUGACCGGCCACACUGGGACUGAGACACGGCCCAGACUCCUACGGGAGGCAGCAGUGGGGAAUAUUGCACAAUGGGCGCAAGCCUGAUGCAGCAACGCCGCGUGAGGGAUGACGGCCUUCGGGUUGUAAACCUCUUUUAGUAGGGAAGAAGCGAAAGUGACGGUACCUGCAGAAAAAGCACCGGCUAACUACGUGCCAGCCGCCGCCGUAA
rnacentral:rRNA from 1 species